GUCCUUCUCAGCAAAGCUGCUCUGCAGCUGGUCGGGUCCCAGCCUGCAUAUUAUUACGGGCUCUUCUUACCUAGGAUUAAACAACAGAAUAACAGACUUCCUUCUUCAGCUGGCAGAUCAAAGGCAAACAUCUCGGAAUAAUGUCUGAAGGUGUCAGUGUUCGCUAAAGGGUGCUUUUCUCCGUAGAGCUUGUCUGUACAUGUCCUCAUUACAUCAUACUGCUAAGGUCUGCAGACAUUCAUCCAACCUGCAGAUGGGUUAUGAUCUACUAGCUGCCACCCCUGUGGAUGGUUAUA